UACAGAGGUCUCAAGCGUUGUUCGGAUUCAUUGGGCGUAAAGGGUGCGUAGGCGGCGCGGUAAGUCGGGUGUGAAAUCUUGGAGCUUAACUCCGAAACUGCAUUCGAUACUGCCGUGCUUGAGGACUGGAGAGGAGACUGGAAUUUACGGUGUAGCGGUGAAAUGCGUAGAUAUCGGGAGGAACACCAGUGGCGAAGGCGGCUUUCUGGCCCGUUCUUGACGCUGAGGCGCGAAAGCUAGGGUAGCAAACGGG
rnacentral:rRNA from 1 species